UACAGAGGGUGCAAGCGUUAAUCGGAAUUACUGGGCGUAAAGCGUGCGUAGACGGUCAUGUAAGUCGGGUGUGAAAGCCCCGGGCUCAACCUGGGAAUUGCAUUCGAGACUGCAUGGCUAGGGUGCGGAAGAGGGAAGCGGAAUUUCCGGUGUAGCGGUGAAAUGCGUAGAUAUCGGAAGGAACACCAGUGGCGAAAGCGGCUUCCUGGUCCAGCACCGACGUUCAGGCACGAAAGCGUGGGGAGCAAACAGG
rnacentral:rRNA from 1 species